rnacentral:tRNA from 1 species
UGUNUGACAAAAGAGUUACUUUGAUAGAGUAAAUAAUAGAGGUUUCAACCCUCUUAUUUC